GAUGAACGCUGGCGGCGUGCCUAAUACAUGCAAGUCGAGCGAACAGACGAGGAGCUUGCUCCUCUGACGUUAGCGGCGGACGGGUGAGUAACACGUGGAUAACCUACCUAUAAGACUGGGAUAACUUCGGGAAACCGGAGCUAAUACCGGAUAAUAUAUUGAACCGCAUGGUUCAAUAGUGAAAGACGGUUGGGCGGGCACUUAGAGAGGGAUCCGCGCCGCAUUAGCUAGUUGGUAAGGUAACGGCUUACCAAGGCAACGAUGCGUAGCCGACCUGAGAGGGUGAUCGGCCACACUGGAACUGAGACACGGUCCAGACUCCUACGGGAGGCAGCAGUAGGGAAUCUUCCGCAAUGGGCGAAAGCUUGACGGAGCAACGCCGCGUGAGUGAUGAAGGUCUUCGGAUCGUAAAACUCUGUUAUUAGGGAAGAACAAAUGUGUAAGUAACUAUGCCCGUCUUGACGGUACCUCAUCAGAAAGCCACGGCUAACUACGUG
rnacentral:rRNA from 1 species